UCCGACUGCACACACUCCUAAUCUAGAGGUUCACUAGAUUAUAGAACAGUUAAUGCCACACAUAGUCCAUAUAAAUUAGAGUAGGCUUAUUGGUACAAUAGAUAUUGAAAGACAGUGUUAUAUGGUUAACAGAACAGGCAUGUAAUAAAAACCAUAUAACCCAGGCCUAUAGGUUUUUUCCAGAGCGCGCUUAGCCUAUGAGUUUGCGUGUCAAUGUGUGAGCGCGCAUUUGUAUGUAUUAGAGUGUAUGUAUGUGUGUGUGCGUGUGUGCCUGUGUGAGCGAGAGAGAGAGAGAGAGAGAGAGAGAGAGAGAGAGAGAGAGAAAGGGAGAGAGAGAGAGAGAGAGAGAGAGAGAGAGAGAGAUUUUACUCAUUGUAAUGCACAGAACGACCUGCCCUCUUUUGAAAAAAAGAGAGAAAACGCAGCCAUGCUUUGCAGAGGCUAGAGCAUCGCUCUCAUUGGUAGUAUCAGCUUCUCGCCAAACGGAGUCUUGCUUGUCUACCGCUACACCAAAGGAACCGGGAAUACAAGCUAUUGGCUCUAUGAUAAAAUGAUCUGCAAUGAAGUAAUGCUAAAAUGAAGUAAAAACACCAGAUCAUGGACAGCUUACAUGAGAGCAGACCGCAGUGUACUGGGAUCCACCAUAUGGCGUGGACCAUACGAUGGUGCAUUAUGGGAUAAUGGAGGACUUUUAAGCUUUCUGCAAUUGUGGACAAGGCAGUCGUCGGGAGAACAUCAAAUGGAGUCAUUUUUCGCCUCCAAAAGUGGCCUGGGACUUAUAAUCAUUUUGUCUGCAGAACUAUUUGCUGCGUUAAAGUUAUUCCUAUUAUAGCCUAUCCUACGCCAUUUUCUCCAAUUGAAUGUAACUUGCUUUUUAUUUUUCAUUACAAGGUAGGCCUGCUCAGCAGCCGUGAGAGGAUUUGAUCUUUUUGGACACUGUGCGGGACGCUUGGGAUUUUUUUUUUUCCAAACUUGACAUCCCAGUACAGCAUUAUUUUUUUAAAUCACAUAACUUAGGCCUCGUAGGCUGCAAAAUCAUGUGAUCAUAUGUAUUAUCCCGGGUUUCAACGAAGCGGGUCGAGGUUACCCACAGUAAAGUGAAUGCAGCUGGUGGACGGACACAUACACACACACACGCACACACACACAUACGCAGUCACACACACACACACACACACACACACACACACACACGCAGAGACGAACGGGUUCUGUCUCUCCGUGUUCACAGCGGACCUUGAUUUAAUGUCUUACAAUUAAGGCACGCGGUGAAUGCCAAGAGAUGAUCCCUCUCUCAUCAGAUGAAAAUAAUUUUUUAAAAUCAUUUUUACCAGUUUUUCAACAUGUAGCUGACGCUCUCAUCCAGAGGGAAAUAAGCAGGCAGAGGGUUUAGUGUGUGGUAAGGUUUGUCCUUCCCUUGUUUCAAACUGUAACUUAUGAUUUAUGCAAUGUUUUUAUUUUCCUUUCCAGAAUAAACGAAAUACACACAACGA